UACAUUUUUUAUAUUUAAAAUUCUUUUAGGUUGUCCUUCAAUAUAUGACUUUGCCAUCACCCAUUAUGGUAGAGAAAACUGAUGUGGAAUAGUACAAACAAUUCUUUUGAGGUAGAGAGAAAUAUGGGUACCUAAAAGGAGAAAAGAAAAGAAGAUAGAUGGGAAAAAAAGAAGAAGAGAAAUUAGAUGCAAAAUAUAAGAGAGCAGGAAGAGAAAGAAAAAUAGCAAAAUUUUUGAAUCACAAUUGUAACAUGAAGAGUUUGGUGGACUUAAAUCAUCACAUUGGAAUUUAUGUGGACAUAAUAAGUGAUAUAUGUCGACUCUUGGAAAACCACAUAGUUGAGUCUUACAACAUAAAAUAAAAUAAAAUCAAAAAGAUGAUUAGAAAAUUAUGUUCUCUUGAUUGCAAAUUCAAGAGAGAUUUUUUGAAAUCAAGAAAACUAAUUCCUUGAAUUAGGUAGAUCAAAUGUUAAGAUGACCUAACUCCAUCUGUAAAUACAUAUGUUUUUCUUUAGUACAUGGCCUUUGAAAAAAAAGAAAAGAAAAAGAGACUCUAGAAAUUUCAAUCCAUAAAAAGUUUCACAAGUUACGACCAAAAUUUAAAUGUUCUUCAAUAAGCCGAGAAGAAUAUCAAGCACUAUACUCAAGACAUUAACAUUUUUUUUAAUUUUCUUAGGUGUUCUAGAGUACAGAAGGGAAUUAUUGUGCUCACAACAAAUCUCCCUUUGGAUAUACAAAAAAGUACAUAAGGGAAUUAUUGCAAGUUUACUUGACAACAAGUCCUUGUUGACUUUCAAAUGAACUACUAUUUAGGAACAUGCGUGAGCCAUCUUUGGAUCAAAAUCAAGUAAGCAGUUGGAUCAAAGGAGAUCUAUAUUCUUUUGCAUACACCACAAAGAAUUGUACUAGUACUCUUUUUAUUAAAAUUAAUACAUUCAAUUUUGUUCCCUAUUUUUCUUGUCCACUUGAUAGGUUACAUGGCUUGUGCAUACAAAUUUCAAAAAUUGUAUUUAAGACAACUUAUACAGAUAUAUAUUCCUCAUUUGAUUUUAGAGGUAGAUUCUUGUGCCAAUAGAAAAUUUUCUUAUUGUUUUCUUUUCCUUUCUUUCAAGGGAUAUUUUCCUUCUUUUCUUUUUUGGCAUCAAAGAACGUUUUCAUAUCGAUAGAAAAUUUUCUUAUUUCUAGUAUUUUUUUUCUUGUAAUUUGAGUUUCCUCUUUUUGUAAAUUAUUAUUAUUUUUAUAUAUAGGGAGGAUGAGAGCUUAGGAUGACUUAUGAUACACCACAAAUCCUUUAUGAGAAGCCUUGGAUCCUCGAUUGUAUUGUUUUGGUGUUAGUUGAUCAUAUGCUCUAAAUCACAUACCAUUGACUAGUGAGUUUUACUUAAGGGCUCACAAUUUUUUUCUAUGGAAGUGAUCAAACUGUUGGUAUCCUUGAAUGAGUCUUAUUGCAAGAUCACGAGCUCACAGAGCAAAAUUGACUUGUCAAAGACAUGAUUAAACAAUAUUGAAAUAAUACAAUGUGAUUCAGGAUCCAAGGUUUCUCAUAAAGGAAUUGUAAUGCGUCAUAAACUUUCAUUUUAAGUUCUCAUUUUUCUCACUCUAUAUAUUAAUUAAUGGCAUAUAGAUAGAGGAACUCCAAAUAAAGGAAGGAAAAUAGGAAAAUUUCUUAUUGACACGAGAACUUCCUUUGGCACCAAAUAAAAAUAGAAGGAAAAUCUCUUGGAAGAAAAGAAGAGAAAAUUGGAAAUGAGAAAUUUUUUAUUGACAUAAGAUUUUUUUUUUGAAAUCAAAUGAGAAAAAGGAAAAAGAUGAAAAGUUGUCUUGAGUAUAAUUAUGGAGAUUUGCACAAAUCAAUUUUGGGUCCUGUAGAUCAAGUCUAUAGGAAAAAUAACAAACAAAAUCGAUUGUAUUAAUUUCAAUCAAAAUAAUGUAGGUCAAAUUUUAUGUAGUGGAUAUACUUUAAUUUGAUCAUGUAUUUGAUUGUAGAUAUGUGUUGUUGAAUUAGAGUUCACUCUACAAACACCAAAUACAUUUGUUCUCAAGUAAACAUGUAUAGUAUUUCCUUUUGCUCCCUAGAAUGCCUAAAGAGAUUAAAAAAUGUUUGUAGUGUUCUUCGGCUUUUGAGGUGGAUGAAGAGUAUCGAUGUUGUUCUUGAUAUUCUUCCAUAGAUUUAUUGAAGAGUGUUUGAAGUAUGGUCCUGAAUUGUAAAUUUCUUUUCUAGAUUAGGACAUUUAGACUCUCUUCUUCUUAUUUUUCGAAAGCCUGUGUACUAAAAGAGAACACUUGUAUUUCUAGGUGGAAUUAGGGUAUUAAUUUGGUAUCCUAAAAUUUUAUCUCUCCGAUUCUAGGAAUUUGACUCAUUGAUUUUAGAAAUAUGUAUUUCCUUUGUGAAAUUUGCCAUAUAUAUAUAUAUAGAUUUGAUUAUUUUUUGACUUAGACUUUAUUUUAUUUUUUUAAACUUAUUUUUUUGGUCUUCUCUUGAUGAGUGUCACCUUUUAUGAUUCACACAAAUUUUGAUGUGGUGAUUUGGGCUCACCAAAAUUUUGAUAUUUACAACAAUAACAAUAGUUCUUUCCUUAAUGUCUUUAGCCUUACUUAUAUGAGCAAUUCAAGAAGCCUAUAUAAAAUAAAAUAUUAAAAUGAUAAUAAUAAAAUUAUAAAACUCCUAAUAAUGAUAAAAUUCUUAAUUUAAAUAAAAAUAGGAAUCCUAAUUUGAUGUAAAUCACAGUCCCUUUUAUCCUUCUUGUCUAAUGCUUAAAAUAACCUUGAAAUUAGUAGUCUUCAUCUUUGUAAAAAACACUUAUCAAUUGCAAUAUGAUGUUAAGUCUAUUUAUUGAAUCUUGCUAAACCCGUGCUAAAGUUUAAUGCUUGUUUGGAUACACUUUAUGUUUUCUGUUUUUAAAAAAGGGAAAAUAGUGGUAACUUCUAUAAAAAAAAAUAUAGUAACUCUUUAUAUAAAAAGUAUAAACUUAUUUUAUGU
rnacentral:lncRNA from 1 species